GCCUUUCUCUGCCGCGAGGCCGGCUCGGCCAGGGCGGGCUCUCCUCACUCGCCUCUGUGUGCCGCCCUCAGGGGACGAGAAAAGCCUGACCUCGGCCCAGCUGCCAGGGAACGGUUGGCUUCGGUUCCGGGGCUGGUCUCUGUGAUCCGAACUGAGACUUCAUUGUUGGAGAAUUCUCACAGGGAGUUAAUGGAAUAGUGUAUUUAAUGCUUGGCAGUAUAGCUGAAGUCUGAAUUGUCAAAGAUGAAACUUUUAAUGUCAGAGUGACUACCAAAACAGGACUGCUGAGCAGUUGAACAGUCUGGCUUGUCCAAAACCGGCUUCCUCAACACAACCAUGGCAUCUGAGACAUAGGCUGGAGAGAAAUAGUUCCUAAAGAAGACCAAGCAAUCUGACUACCUGGAGAACUUCAAAGAGUGCGUUAACCUAUGCUUGAAGAAACACGGCUCCGAACAGUUUGGCUCUGACUACAGACGCGGAAAAGUAAAUUAUUGCAAAACCUACCACCCAAAAAAAAAAAAAA